rnacentral:siRNA from 1 species
AGUAACGUCCUGCCAAAUCCGUC